UACGGAGGUGGCAAGCGUUGCUCGGAUUUACUGGGUGUAAAGGGUACGUAGGCGGCCUCAUAAGCCCUGCUUUAAAGGCUUGGGCUCAACCUGAGCAUGUGGUGGGGGACUGUGAGGCUUGAGGAUUGGAGAGGUGAGUGGAAUUCCCGGUGUAAGGGUGAAAUCUGUAGAUAUCGGGAGGAACACCAGUGGCGAAGGCGACUCACUGGACAAUCUCUGACGCUGAGGUACGAAAGCUAGGGGAGCAAACAGG
rnacentral:rRNA from 1 species